GAUGAACGCUAGCGGAGGCUUAACACAUGCAAGUCGAGGGGCAUCGCGGUGCAGCAAUGCACUGGCGGCGACCGGCGUACGGGUGCGUAACGCGUAUGCAACCUGCCCCGCACCGGGGGAUAGCCCGCCGAAAGGCGGAUUAAUACCCCAUGGUCCCGGGGGCCCGCAUGGGCAUCCGGGUAAAGCCUUGGCGGUGCGGGAUGGGCAUGCGUGCCAUUAGCUGGCUGGUGGGGUAACGGCCCACCAGGGCAACGAUGGCUAGGGGGUCUGAGAGGAUGGUCCCCCACACUGGUACUGAGACACGGACCAGACUCCUACGGGAGGCAGCAGUGAGGAAUAUUGGUCAAUGGGCGGAAGCCUGAACCAGCCAUGCCGCGUGCGGGAUGAAGGCCCUACGGGUUGUAAACCGCUUUUCCCCGGGAAGAAUAAGCCCCCCGCGGGGGGUGAUGCCGGUACCGGGGGAAUAAGGAUCGGCUAACUCCGUGCCAGCAACCGCGGUAAAAGUGUGUGUA
rnacentral:rRNA from 1 species